CUCCUGGCUUCCUGGCCACUCUUUAAGUGGCACUGUGUGGUUUUAAGGAAGCCGCCAGGCUGCCAGAACAGAAGCUGCAGCACACAGUCCCGAUUGCACACACGAUUACGGCUGCCAAGUAAAGACUGCUGUUGUUAUCCCCGCCUCCACUUCAAGACUGGAAUACAAGUAACUAAAGCCCCAUUCAAAAGCUGGCCUGGAUCAAGGUCUAGCCAAAAAACUUGGAGGAAGAAUGACCUCCACAAAAUGCACUGUAAUUAAAUUCUCGUUGGCUGGUACAGUCAGAUGGUCAGGAUAAACAAUCCCAUGAAGAUUGUGGCCUCUCCCAGGAACAAAAGAAAAGUAAGUGCUGACUUGCACACAGAGGUUUAUUGAAAUAUAUCUCAAAUGAAAAGUGCAUAUCAGCUAACAUUGAGGUCAAAUGAAAUACAGUUAUAGGGAAGCAAACAGUAACACUUAUCAGCUUUUAGAAUUUGCUAGCAAUUCUAAAUUCCAAAUAGAAAGAAAGAAAGAAAGAAAGAAAGAAAGAAAGAAAGAAAGAAAGAAAGAAAGAAAGCCUCUUAAGAAGGAGUGUGUCAACACAGAGUUAUAAAUUUAAGCACAUGUAUUUUUAAAAAGGACCACACAGAUUGUGACCCAUUAAGCCAAACAUAACCCACCAAACAUUUAGUAUGUCUUGCCAGGUGGUUGCCAUCCACUAUGGCCAGAGGUGCACCUAGGUAAUUUUAGAGCCUGGACCUAGAGGCCUUUGGAGGCCCCCCCACCCCUACAAAUUAAGCAUCAUCAUGCUUUAGGGAUGUGCACGGAAUCGGCUGGCUUGGUUCGGUUCGAGGACUAGUUUGGUCCGGCACCCCUUAGAACCCCCCUGGUUUGGUCCGGCCCGGGGGUGUGUGUGGAUGGGUUCAUGAAGUUUUUUUUUUUUUAAGUUUUAAAUUUUUUUUAACCUCUAGCCCCUUUGGGGGGCUUUCUCUAGGCCGCGGGUGUGUGUGUGUCCACGAAGGUUCCCUCUCCCCCUGCUGGCCUAGUUUAUCACCGCCGUGUCCCGUUUUA